rnacentral:tRNA from 1 species
GCGCCCGUAGCUCAAUUGGAUAGAGCAUCUGACUACGAAUCAGAAGGUUGUAGGUUCGAGUCCCGCCGGGCGCGCCA